rnacentral:rRNA from 1 species
GAUGAACGCUGGCGGCGUGCCUAAUACAUGCAAGUCGAGCGAACAGACGAGGAGCUUGCUCCUCUGACGUUAGCGGCGGACGGGUGAGUAACACGUGGAUAACCUACCUAUAAGACUGGGAUAACUUCGGGAAACCGGAGCUAAUACCGGAUAAUAUAUUGAACCGCAUGGUUCAAUAGUGAAAGACGGUUUUGCUGUCACUUAUAGAUGGAUCCGCGCCGCAUUAGCUAGUUGGGAAGGUAACGGCUUACCAAGGCGACGAUGCGUAGCCGACCUGAGAGGGUGAUCGGCCACACUGGAACUGAGACACGGUCCAGACUCCUACGGGAGGCAGCAGUAGGGAAUCUUCCGCAAAGGGCGAAAGCCUGACGGAGCAACGCCGCGUGAGUGAUGAAGGUCUUCGGAUCGUAAAACUCUGUUAUUAGGGAAGAACAAAUGUGUAAGUAACUAUGCACGUCUUGACGGUACCUAAUCAGAAAGCCACGGCUAAUUACGUG